GGGCGCAAGCCUGAUGCAGCGACGCCGCGUGAGGGAUGACGGCCUUCGGGUUGUAAACCUCUUUCAGUACCGACGAAGCGCAAGUGACGGUAGGUACAGAAGAAGCACCGGCCAACUACGUGCCAGCAGCCGCGGUAAUACGUAGGGUGCGAGCGUUGUCCGGAAUUACUGGGCGUAAAGAGCUCGUAGGCGGUUUGUCGCGUCGUCUGUGAAAACCCGCAGCUCAACUGCGGGCUUGCAGGCGAUACGGGCAGACUUGAGUACUGCAGGGGAGACUGGAAUUCCUGGUGUAGCGGUGAAAUGCGCAGAUAUCAGGAGGAACACCGGUGGCGAAGGCGGGUCUCUGGGCAGUAACUGACGCUGAGGAGCGAAAGCGUGGGUAGCGAACAGGAUUAGAUACCCUGGUAGUCCACGCCGUAAACGGUGGGCGCUAGGUGUGGGUUUCCUUCCACGGGAUCCGUGCCGUAGCUAACGCAUUAAGCGCCCCGCCUGGGGAGUACGGCCGCAAGGCUAAAACUCAAAGGAAUUGACGGGG
rnacentral:rRNA from 1 species